UGAUCUGUACCUAUUGAUGCUCUGUGCUGAUUCUGUUUUGCUUGUUGUGUGUCCAUACAGGCACACUGUUGACAAACUAAGAUCAAGCCAACCAAAACAUUUUUGAAUAAAACAGGGACAGCUCCUUGCUGAGAAAAUACACUUGCUGUAGUGACCAAGCCCAGAGAGAGCAGAGAAGUGUGGGAGGAGGCUGACGAUGGCAUUUCAUGCCCUUACAAAUCAGAAAGCCCCAGAGUGUCAUUGCACUAGGACUCGUUACACCACCGGUUGCUAACUGGGAAAGGGACAGGCCUCCCUCCCCUGUUCUGGUCCCUUUAAAAGCAGAAUGGGCCAGCAGCCUUCCACAGGUGAGACUUUUCAUAGCUAAACAGGAUCAGCUGCUUGAUGGCUGCAGCUGUUCCAGGACUGCUGAAGCCUGAAAGGGGCAAACUGUGGAUCCCUUGCAGGGCCCUGGAAUCACAGGGCAAAGCUCUCCCCUCAAGAAUUAUGGCAGGAGAAGAGUGACCGCUGCGAAGGAAACGAAAGGAAAGAAGGAAAAGAAGCGCCCGCCCGCAAUCCCGAAAUUUGUUCACCCGGGAGAAGGAAAGAGACCUGCCACGUAACUCCAGCAAACACAUUUUUCCCCCGGCACAGGAGAAGUUCAAGGCCGGGAAGGCAAUCCGGGUUUCUUCCUCCUCCCGGCGGCGAUCGCUCCUCUCCAGGCUCCAAACGGGAUUCCGCGCCAAGCGGACGGAGGCGCCCCGACCGGAGCGCAAGCGGAGGCAAGACCUGCAGGUCCGCGGAGGCGCAACACCCUCCCCUCCGGCCCCGUCUUGCGGAUCCUCCCCGGGGGGGCCCUCCUUCCUUCGCCCACCGGCCCACCCAUCCCCACCGGCGCGCGCUGGGGGGGGCGCGUCUCUCUGCUUCCCCAGGGAGGGUCCAAGGCAGCGUCAUCGGGGCCGCUCCCUCGCAUAAAGCCACCCCGCCGACCGGCCGCCGCGCCCGUCCGUCCCGCUCCAGUCGCCCGAAGGACGGACAGGCAAGCGCCCCGUGGCGCCCCCCUGCGGAAGAUGCUGCUGGGAAGGCGGCGCGUCUUCUCGGUGGAGCCGCUUUGGAACCGAGGAGGCUGAGCGUUACAUUACAGGAGGCAGACGACCCUCCACCCAUCAUCCCCAGCCACCAGAAAGUCCUCCUUGAGGAAGGUGGGGAUGGGCUUUUCGUUGACCUCAAGGGAAUGAUACCUGGUGAAGGACGGCUUGGCCAGCAGAACUGCACAGGAGGGGGUCAACUUCCCACACAGGCCGGCAUCUUUCACGUCACCUAGCCCACAAAGCGGUUAAGAUAAAACAGGACAGAUCCUUGGACCCUAUUUCAUACCUGAAUUCCUUGGAGGAACGGCGGAGUGGAGUCAUGUAUGUUGAACCUCUUGCAACCUCCAUAACCAGGAGCACAAGAAACCUGCACAAGGCAUACAUUUAUAUCUUGCAUUUCUGUUGUUCAUACUGAAGGGUGCUAACUCUCCUUAAAAGUUCUAUUUAAAAAACAAAGGUAUCUGAAACAAACAAACAUCCAAGCCACUCGCUAAUAAAAAUCUCAUAAUAAAACCGGAAAGCUUUGUU
rnacentral:lncRNA from 1 species